UUGAUUACUGUGAGACAAAAAUUGUAAUUUUACAAUUUUGUUGCCAUGACAGUUCAAAGUUUUUUCAGAAUUAAUAUACUUUUACCUUUUUGUUUUUGUAAUUAAUAGUGCUGUCAAAUUAUUAAUUGCGAUUAAUCGCAUCCAAAAUAAUUUUUUGUUCACAUAAUAUAUGUGUACUUUGUAUAUUUAUCAUGUAAAUAUAAAAGCACACACAUACAGUAUAUAUUUUGAAAAUAUUUACAUAUUAUAUAUAAAUAUGUACAUUAUAUAAUCGUAACAUAUUUUUCUUUAAAAAAAAAACAUACAUGUGUUUUUAUUAAUAUAUACAUAAUAAAUAUACACAGUACACGUAUAUUAUGUGAAUAAAAUUAUUUUCUUUUGGAUGCGAUUAAUUGCGAUUAAUCGUUUGACAGCACUAGUAAUUAACAUUAAUUGCAGCUCUGUGGACAUAGAGAGCAGAAGGCUGCUUGCAUGUUGUAAGGCUAACAGUUGUAUCUGGAUUACUGGCUUACGGGUUUUUUCCUGCCGUCCAGGCACUCAGUGUUGAUUAGCUAAGACUGGCCUGGUGAGGAACACCUCGUAGUGCCAGGGACAUCUACUGGGAUAGAGGUGAAAGAGGAGACACCAGGGUUUGUGUACUUCGCUCCAGGACAGCCCGCUGUGCCCUGCUCCACAUACUAGAAAUUGUCUAAUUAUUUUGGGAAUACACUGAGGCUGUAUUUUAUAUUCAUAUGGAGGCUUGAAAUUAAUUUCGGGGUCACUGAGAAAAAGCACUCCUCUAAAAAGUUUGAACCCUCUGGAAUCCAACAUCUUUUAUAUGUAAUUAUUGUAUCGCUAAGGCAAGAAUUCCUAUUUCCAUUGCUCAUAUUACUUGUUAUAUUUUUGUGAAGGUUGUUUCUCAGUGUUCAACUUUUGCAUCGUGUUAUGGUCAGGAAUGAUACUUCAAAACAUGCAGUGUUUUGAGGGGAGGUGUGCUAUUACUUUUCUAAAGUGAUUAGGCUAAAAGCAUUGGCAUAGAUGAUAUGACAAAUAGAAAAAUAAACAGACUUGCAUCACUUACAUGAACAUUUACA